rnacentral:rRNA from 1 species
UACGGGGGGAGCGAGCGUUGUUCGGAAUCACUGGGCGUAAAGGGCGCGUAGGCGGCUGGGUAAGUCAGCGGUGAAAUCCCAAGGCUCAACCUUGGAAUUGCCUUUGAUACUGCCUGGCUAGAGGGUGGAAGAGGAUAGUGGAAUUCCUGGUGUAGCGGUGAAAUGCGUAGAUAUCAGGAAGAACACCGGUGGCGAAGGCGGCUAUCUGGUCCACUACUGACGCUGAGGCGCGAAAGCCAGGGGAGCAAACGGG